rnacentral:rRNA from 1 species
UACGUAGGGUGCAGGCGUUAAUCGGAAUUACUGGGCGUAAAGGGCGCGUAGGCGGCCUGGCAAGUGGAAGGUGAAAUCCCUCGGCUUAACCGAGGAACUGCCUCCCAAACUGCUUGGCUUGAGACCGGGAGAGGUGAGUGGAAUUCCCAGUGUAGCGGUGAAAUGCGUAGAUAUUGGGAGGAACACCAGUGGCGAAGGCGGCUCACUGGACCGGUACUGACGCUGAGGCGCGAAAGCGUGGGGAGCAAACGGG